GGAGCCUGCAUUCUAGGGAGGAAAGCUGACGACACAUCAACUAGAAACUAUCAGUAACAUUAUGCAGAGAACUGAGAUGGGGAGCUACGUUUGCAUGAGUAGUCAGGAAAAGAUCUUUGUUUUUGAAGGGUGAUGUCUGAACAGAGACCCCAAUGUUGCAUGGAAGCAGGUCAUGUGAAGACCAGGGAGAACAGCGCCCCAGAGAUGGAGUUCUGCUCGUCGCCCAGGCUGGAGUGCAGGGGCGCAGUCUUGGCUCACCACAACCUCUGCCUCCUGGUUCAAGCAAUUCUCCCGCCUCAGCCUCCCGAGUAGCUGGGAUUACAGGUGUGUACCACCAUGGCCGGCUAAUUUUGUAUUUUUAGUAGAGACAGGGUUUCACCAUGUUGGUCAGGCUGGUCUCGGACUCCCGAGCUCAGGUGAUCCACCCGCCUCGGCCUCCCAAAGUGCUGGGAUUACAGGCAUGAGCUUCCGCGCCUGGCCCUCUGGUUGUCUGUAAGUGUGUAGCACCUCCUCCUCUCUCCUCCUCCUGCUCCAGCCACCCAAGACAUGCCUGCUUCCCGUUCACCUUCCACUGUGAUUGUGAGUUUCCUGAGGCCUCCCCAGCCGUACUUCCUGGACAGCCUGCAGAACCGUAUGGACUGAGGGGUCUCCCUGGGCUGGGCCGAGCAGGAGGAGGCUGAGCAGUGAAAACGGUGACCCCUGCCCUCACGGAGCUAACGAGAAGAGCAAAUGGCUGGCAACGGUGCAUGACACAGAAUGAGCAACGGGCUGCACACAUCGCGAUUUACGUGGCUUUGGAAAAAACGCGUCUCACAAGUUGGGGCUGUCAUACAUUGGCUUCUUGGUAAUCAAUGCGUUUCAGCAAUAUAUGGGGGUGAGUUUAGUUUCCAGUUGGCUUCCCUGAGGGUGUUGGAUAAAAUUGCAAUUUAGAUUCAAUCAAUACACAUUUAGUGAGCACCUAUUCUUUGCCUGAACGAUUGUGGGCAUUGUGGGGGAUACAAAGGGAGACAUCGUGGGUGGAGCUUACCAUGGAAACAACUGUCUCUUGCUCCAUGGUGUUUACCUUGCCUUGGAAAAUAAACAACGUAAACAUUUUUUUGUGACAACGGAGACAGGAUUGAGAGACUUGCACAGACUUCCUUUCCCAAAACUUCUGCAGACUAAAAUUCUACCAUUAGCUAUUAAUUUCUUUGACUAAAUUUUGUCCUCACUCUGCAGUUUCUUUUUUCUAAAGUAAAAAUACUUCUAGAAAGAGAACACGACGUCCUUAACCUCUUAAAACAGAAAUGACAUAUAAAUCGACUUGCACACCAAUUUGGGCCCUUGGAUAUUUGUUGCCUGAAGAGCUGUGUUGAAAAGGCCUCUGAGGCUCAAUCUGGCCUCUGAUGCAAAGAAUGUCGAUCGAUUGCUGAUGUCUGCCCUGAGUGCUGGAAGGGAGGAUGGCAUUUACUAUCCCUGCCUUAAAUUAGAGGAGCUUAUGGGGUUCUUCCCCAACUAUAACAAGAGGGGUUAAAUGAACACUAAUCAUCUGAUAGGACAGCCACUGAAGGAGGUGAGGGGAAUUUAAGAAGGAAAGGCUGUGACUGCCAAUCUCCUAAUGUCACCUGCAUGGCCGUCAGUCACCUGCAGCCCUUGUCAGUGCACCCAAAGCCUUUGCAGAUGUCAACCCAGCUGGCUUUCCAGCCAUGUCUCACCAUACCCCAGUGCUCCUCUGCUCCAGCCCCACUGAACUCUGCCAGACCUGGACGUGCCCUUAUACAUGUGCUUCCUAGACAUCCCAGAACAUCUGUGCCCAUUGUCUCUGCACAGGGAAUUCUUAUGUAACUCCAUGAACACCUACCCUAAGUGUCACUUCCUGUGAGAAGUCCUCCCUGAUUCACUCCCUCCUCUGUUUACCCACCCACUGGAGACCCAGCUCUGCAUGGCAGUCUUCACACUCUAUCAUCUUUGUCCUUCCUUCUUUUUUUUUUGAGUCAAGCUUUCACUCUGUCGCUCAGGCUGGAGUGUAGAUCACAGCUCGCUGCAGCCUCCAACUCAGCUAAAGCGAUCCUUCCUCCUCAGCCUCCAGAGCAGCUGGGACUACAGGUGCAUGCCACCAUGCCCAGGUAAUUUUUUUCUUUUUUGUAGAGACAGGGUCUUGCAAUGUUGCCCAGGCUGGCCUCGAACUCCUGGCCUCAAGCACCUCCCACUUCGGCCUCCCAAAGUGCUGGGAUUAUAGGCAUGAGCCACUGUGUCCAGCCCAUCCUUGUCCUUUCACAUGUGUCACCUUUCUCGUGAGACUAAGAGGUCUGUGGGAGCAGGGUUAGUGCCUGGUCUCUGUGAUCCAGUCCCCAGCCCCAGGCCUGACACACAGCUGGUGCUCAACAACCACUGGCUGAAUAUUGGAAUGAAUAAAUGAACGAACUUUGUCAGUGUGGCAGAUGCUAUGCCUAUGCUGAGACUGCUGUUUUUUCACAUGCCCCUGCUUCUCCUGUGUUCCUGCAGUAGCACACUGCCGGUGGUAAAUGAAUCCCCAAGUAUGAAUGCUUCACAGAACAAAGUUUAAUUUCCCCUCCCACAAAGUCCAGUGCAGAUUGUGCAGCCCUCCGGAACACUUGUCUUGGUAUUAACCACAUCUUUUAUUUCCUGCAUUCCAAUGCUCUGACAUCUGGGGCCUCGCUGACCCCCUAGAGUUAGCCAAUUUCUAGAGAUACAAGUUGCCAUGACAGCACUUUUCAGAUGCAAACAACCCACCCAAACCAAACAAAGCCUUCUUUUCCCUCCACCUCCUAACUGACCUUGGUGCUUCCCCGUGUGGCUCUGUGUGGCGUGGCAGGCGGUGUCCCCUCCUCCUGGGAACUGCUUCCACUGAGUGACUCAGCGAUCCAGUCUGCUUUCAUAGGUGGCUCUAAUGAGGCAGAAAUUUAAAAAUAAAUAUGCAUUCAUUCACUCCAAGAAAAGUAACAGGCAAGGGUUCACAAGAAAAAAAGAAGUUUUCCUCUGCCUAGCAAGCACACUUCAAGGACAGUUAUAAGAUAAUGCUGUACGAGCAGCCAAGGCCAAAGGAAUGGGCUUCAGACACCCCUCUCCCCCAGAGCAAUGUUGAAGGAAAAAAAAAGAGAAAAAGAUAAAUUACUUUACUGUUACUCCUUUCCCAGGCUUCUUAAACGUGAUUAUGUUUUACAAAUGUCUGUAUUUAGCCAGUUCUUGUUUUUCUUUUGACGCAGCUACAAGGCCACAAAUUAUACACUAUAUGAUUAACUGCUUUUGUUUUACUUUUGUAAGUCUGCUUAUAAAAACCCCACUCAGUCGUUGUUCAAUGCUCAGCUUUUUGGAUGCGAAUCCACUGAGCCAGUGCGUACCUAAAAUAAACAAUCCUCCCGUUCUCCGUAUCGGUCUC
rnacentral:lncRNA from 10 species